AUUGAACGCUGGCGGAAUGCUUUACACAUGCAAGUCGAGCGGCAGCGCGGGGGCAACCCUGGCGGCGAGCGGCGAACGGGUGAGUAAUGCAUCGGAACGUACCCAGUCGUGGGGGGAUAACGUGGCGAAAGUCACGCUAAUACCGCAUACGUCCUGAGGGAGAAAGCAGGGGAUCGCAAGACCUUGCGCGAUUGGAGCGGCCGAUGUCUGAUUAGCUAGUUGGUGGGGUAAAGGCCUACCAAGGCGACGAUCAGUAGCUGGUCUGAGAGGACGAUCAGCCACACUGGGACUGAGACACGGCCCAGACUCCUACGGGAGGCAGCAGUGGGGAAUUUUGGACAAUGGGCGAAAGCCUGAUCCAGCCAUUCCGCGUGAGUGAAGAAGGCC
rnacentral:rRNA from 1 species